rnacentral:rRNA from 1 species
UGGGGAAUAUUGCACAAUGGGCGCAAGCCUGAUGCAGCCAUGCCGCGUGUAUGAAGAAGGCCUUCGGGUUGUAAAGUACUUUCAGCGGGGAGGAAGGCGAUAAGGUUAAUAACCUUGUCGAUUGACGUUACCCGCAGAAGAAGCACCGGCUAACUCCGUGCCAGCAGCCGCGGUAAUACGGAGGGUGCAAGCGUUAAUCGGAAUUACUGGGCGUAAAGCGCACGCAGGCGGUCUGUCAAGUCGGAUGUGAAAUCCCCGGGCUCAACCGGGGAACUGCAUUCGAAACUGGCAGGCUAGAGUCUUGUAGAGGGGGGUAGAAUUCCAGGUGGAGCGGUGAAAUGCGUAGAGAUCUGGAGGAAUACCGGUGGCGAAGGCGGCCCCCUGGACAAAGACUGACGCUCAGGUGCGAAAGCGUGGGGAGCAAACA